AGUUUCGUUCUAACGUUAGUAGAAAAUCGCAAAAUAAUUCGUCAAAUAAUUUCUUAAAUGUUAUGUAAAGAAAAAUGUAUACGUUGAUACAUUCGUUGUUAAAUAGUUAAUACGUUUGAUCGUUACACGUAAAUGAGUCAAGGACAAAAAGAGUAUUAUGAUAUAUUAUCUCGAUCCUUCUACUAUCGUGAAAAUUCGUGAAAUCGUGGAUCUUCGUCAGUCGUCAGGCGUUUCUCGCUAUCGCUCUGUGUCCUCCUCGUAAAAUUUUAUCGAGCGUGUAACCGACACCGCUCGACGCGUCGUAUCGUUCGAUUUUAACGACCAUCCCGCGCGCUCGUUUCCCUUUGAAACGCCGUCGAUGAACUUGAAAUUCACGAGAGUACGACAGGAGAGUCGGAAAGGGUUCGAGGAAGUCCGAUUUACCGUUGUUGUGAGUGAAACGCGUAACGCGUUUUCCUUUCCUCUCUUAUACAUUUACUAUUUGAUUUAGCUAGGUAGGGUAAUGAAGAAAACUCGGAAGAUUCUUAAGAAAUCUAGUCGAAAAAUAGUCCAGCUUUAAUCCUUUUAUCCCAACGGCAUAAAUGGGGAAGGUUAUCAAGAUAAAAUGUAAAAGAGCAUCGUCUUCAUUUUGCAUCAAGAAAGUUUUCUUCGGAAUUCGUCGUUGAACGAACACAGACGAGGUACGAUAUCUAUCCACUACGUUGCAACGUUUUGAAAUGGUCAAAGAACGAAGGUACUGCCAACGAAUAGAAUCAAAUAUAUCGAGCUUAACGUUGGAUCGAUUCGCUCGAAUUCCUCUUUUAAAGGACAUCAAUACCCGAUGCUCGCACAAGAAGCUCCCGCGUCCGCAAAGAUCCGCUUGAGGGUAACCCCUACAGAUGGCAGCAGCAAGCAAGAUACUUUGCGUCCGAAUCGAAAGAUAGAAGAGAACGCAGCAGUAAAUGCCUCCGCGUGGUCGUCGAAGUGCAAGCAAAGGCAAGGCUGCCGCACGAAUUAAUAAUUCUCCUUGGCGUCGAGUUACAUGGGCGAAUGCGAAUCGAAUGGUCGAGAGGGAGAGUCUGUGUCUCGUGCAAUGCAGAACAAAGAGGGAAAAAGUAGGAGAAGAAGAGGAGGAAUGACAUCGGAGCGAGAACAAAAAAGGAAGAAAGAAAGAGAUAGAUAGAUAGAUAGAGAGAGAGAGAGAGAGAGAGAGAGAGAGAGAGAGAGAGAGACGUCAGUGGCCAGGGGACGAAGCAUUUGCCAUAAAAGGCC